ACUCUUGCUUUCCACUUCCACCGCCACUCUCUUCGGACUUCGCCGCGGAGCAGCAACUCUCAUCAAUCUCUCUCUCUCUCUCUCUCAGGUAAAGCAAAAAAUCUCUUUAUUAUGCAUCUCUCUCUCUCUCUCUCUCUCUCUCUCUCUCUCUAUUUGUGUUUUUUGGGCAACAGAUGAGUUUGAAAACAAGUUUAUGUAGUACUGGGAAUAGGAUUUCAUUAGGGUUGUAAGGAUCAGAGCAGGUUCUCUCACUCUCUCCUCUUCCUUUUCUUUCUUAUUUUAAGCUCUUGCAAGCAUGUGAUUAGAGAAAACUCCCAGAUGGAUAUGCAGCUUUUUUCAGAAAAAAAAAAAAAAACAAAACAAAACAAAAAGGCAAAAAAGAGGGAAAGGGAAAGCAGAUGAUCCCCUAUACUUUACCCAGUCAUGAAUAAAAAAAAAGUUAGCACCAUAUCUCUUUUUAAGGCCAUUAUUUUGCUUAAAGCAUGCUUAAAAGAACAUUUGAUUUUCCACAUAAAUCAUCACACAGCUUUUGGCUUAUUACAUUUGGUUGGAGAUUUUACCUGCAUCGUUCAUUUGGAUUUCUCCGAGACCAUCAAAAUUUUUUGGAUUUGCAUUCCUGUGAUCUGUUUGCAAUUUCAUGCUUCUUCAGGUGGUCUGUUCGUAUAUUGAGUCUGGAAGAGGAGUAAUGUCAUGCAACAGAAGACUGCCCCAGAAUUCUUGCAGAUUCCAGCUUGAACAGGAC
rnacentral:lncRNA from 1 species